rnacentral:lncRNA from 1 species
AGAGAGAGAGAGAGAGAGAGAGAGAGAGAGAGAGAGAGGGAUUUUGACCCAGAAUCAUUCCAGAAGAGGGAUCCUGCCUUCCUUGAAGGGUUGACUUUAAAUUAUAUUUUCUGUCGGAAUUUUUGAAGAAAUGGAUGCAGUAGGCAGUGGGUCGCCAGGAGCUGCCAAUCCCAACAUGGAAAGAUCAGAUCUCAAGGGUUCAUCAGAGUCGACAUCCGUUACGAGUAGGCCCAUUAUUAGACAGAGAGGAUCAAGAGAGAGAAAGAAGCGAGCAGAGAGAGAGACAGAGAGAUCCCACCCAAGAACAGGGAUGAGAUCACCACCCAGAUCCAGGGAUCCUCACCUUGAAAGAGCUCUGGAGGUCCUCGUCGACUGCUGCACCGGAAAUGGAAAAGGGAGGAUCGAGUUAAAAAAAGAGGGUAAACGAAAGAAGGGCUCUUCCUCUUCCGGCGAGGAGCGAGGCAGAUUUGGUGAGGUGGAGAAUGGCCGCUAACCUUCCUCCAUGAGAGCUCUGAACUUCUUGACUGCCUCCUGAGAGCCGGAGCCCAUCUCGCCGCCACUCGCCGCCUCUCGCCGCCUCUUUCCGCCUCGCUGCGUCGGGGUUUGCCUCCUGGCGGCGCGGCCGCUGCGGCGGAGGGGCGAGCAGAAGGAAGGGCGGUCUGCAAAAUGGAGAGAGCUCGCCCACUAGAGAACUGCAGGUGGAAGGAGGACCCUUCCUCUUGAUGCCCCAGAUGCUUCAAUCGAGGUGGACUCGGAAAAAAAAAAAGAGAGGAUGAAAAAAGACAGGCCCCAUUAUGAAAACUGUACAAACAAACUUGAUUUUCUCGUGCCCACAGUGAGA